rnacentral:rRNA from 1 species
CUAUAGCGUAUAUUAAAGUUGUUGCAGUUAAAAAGCUCGUAGUUGGACCUUGGACCUGGACAGGCGGUCCGCCUCACGGCGUGUACUGUCUUGCUGGGUCUUUCCUCUUGGUGAUCUGUUGUUUCGGCAGCAGGGAACCAGGACUUUUACUUUGAAAAAAUUAGAGUGUUCAAAGCAGGCUCGACGCCGGAAUAUAUUAGCAUGGAAUAAUAAAAUAGGACGUGCGGUUCUAUUUUGUUGGUUUUUGGAAUCGCCGUAAUGAUUAAUAGGGACAGUCGGGGGCAUUAGUACUCACAUGCUAGAGGUGAAAUUCUUGGAUUUUGUGAAGACUAACUUCUGCGAAAGCAUUUGCCAAGGAUGUUUUCAUUAA